GUCUUUUAGAUAAUAAUUUAAAGUCUAACCUGCCCACUGAAAUUAUUUGAAGGGCCGCGGUAUUUUGACUGUGCAAAGGUAGCAUAAUCAUUAGUCUUUUAAUUGGAGGCUUGUAUGAAUGGUUGGAUGAAACAUUAACUGUCUCAAUUUAAGAAAAGUAGAAUUUAAUUUUUAAGUUAAAAAGCUUAAAUAAAAUUAGAGGACGAGAAGACCCUAUAGAUCUUUAUAAUUAAUAUUUUAUUAUUAAUAUAGUAAUUUAAUUUAUAUUAAUUUAUUAAUUAUUUUAUUGGGGUGAUAGAUAAAUUUAGUAAACUUUAUUUAAUAUAAACAUUAAUUUAUGAAUAUUUGAUCCAUUAAUAGUGAUUAUAAGAUUAAGUUACCUUAGGGAUAACAGCGUAAUUUUUUUAGAGAGUUCAUAUCGAUAAAAAAGUUUGCGACCUCGAUGUUGAAUUAAAGGUUAAUUUUAGGUGUAGAAGUUUAAAAUUUUGGUCUGUUCGACCAUUAAAUC
rnacentral:rRNA from 1 species